rnacentral:lncRNA from 1 species
AGAGUUGAUUCACAUGUGAUAUGAAGUUGUAAAGUUGAGAAUAGCUUGAAGUUGUAUUCGACCUGGGGCCCUUCCAAGUUCCAAAGAAAAGCCUCGACAUUCCAUCAGAAUUUUAGGUGAAAGAACUUCGGAUUAUAUUAAGUCAAGAUACCAAUUUUUCCAUUACAUUGAAGGAUCCUGAAUUUACAUUAGAGAUGUGAGCCAAAACAGAUGGCAAACGCGGGGGGUGAGAGCUAGACAAGAGCACCACCUUUAAGAUAUUCAGUGAAGGCGAGUGCAACCAGACCCAACAUGGCAAACCUCCCAUUCCACAUCUCCGCAUCAGAAGUCAUCAACCCCUUCGAUUUGGACUCCACGCUCACACCUUUGAACAAGGGAAUCAGAGAAGCCAGUGAGAGUACAACAGCGGUUCCCAGGAACCAUGGAAUCCCACCGUUGGAUAUCUGAGCAAACACAUCCUCACCCUUCCAUAUUUCCGCACCCAUUGCCGCAACAAAGCCUACCAUGGCAAGCCUGCCGUUGAUCCUCUCCGGUGCCGGCCCACUAAAUGCGAACACAUCCCCAAAUUUAGUGCUCACCUGCCACAAAAUUCAAAAACAUAUAUAUAUUCUCAUGUUAUAAACCCCACCGGAAAAGUGACCAUGGAAAGAAGUUACCCGCGGACUUUACAUACCUUAGGCGCAGGAGGAGGAGGAGGAGGAGGGAUCGGUUGACGUGACUGUGAGAGUGAGGGUGGCUGCUGGGGGUUGGUGGUGACAGGAGGUGGCCGUUCGAUUUGGCCAUCCUGCACAAUGGUUACGAGAUCAGUUGUCAAAAUCCCAUAAAUCGGCUGACAUUAUCUGCUAUGAUCUGAGUGGAGGUUGAGAUCUUACCUCCUUGGUGCACCGCACCUGCACAGCACUCCUUUGAAGACGUAGCACCGACCUGGGAGGGACGACCUGGAGAUCUCUGGUUCUGUUGGCUACGCGUGUCAUAGCUGUUGCAAGGGUGGAUUGCAUGGUGGUUGCCAUGGCCAUCAGCGUCGACUCCGAAAUUCUUAGCGAGUCGUGCAAGGGCUUCCAAUGGCGCUAUGAUGCUAUGGCGAUGCUACUGUGUACUUCUGAGUGUGGGUAUGAAGAUUGGAGCCUGGCAGCAUUAUUUAUAACGUGGGAGGGUAAAGGCUAAAGCGAGGUGUGGACAUUUUGAGUUCCACGUCAUUUUCUCAGAGUUGUCCAGAGAUUGGAUCACGUGGGCUCAUAUUUGUCCACACAUGUAUAGGUUGACGACGUGGUCUCUGCUCCGCUCCACACAAUAUCACCAUAUGUUAGGUUGACGACGUGGGCUCCGCUCCCAGCACCCACAAUAUCAUCGCAUGUGGCUGUCGAGUCUGCCUUGUUCUAGGUUUUUCCAGCCCCGAAAUUAGGCAGAUGUCCAUUUGUUAUGUCAUUAAAUUCAUCUUCGUCAACCAUAACCAUUCACACCUUUGCACAAAUUAAAUUCAGAAUUAAUUUGAAAACUUGUACACUGCUUUAAAAUAUUAUUUAUUUUUAUCAUAGAUGUUUUGUUUUUCUUUAAAAAAUCUAUGUAGUUUAUAUUUAUAAUCGAUGUUAUACAAAUUUCAUAUCAUAAUAUCAAUAUUCUAAAUUUUCUUUUAUUUUCAAACGUUACAUAACCAUAUUAAUCCCAUAUUGUUACGUGACAUGGCAUUAAAACUAAAAGAAAUUUUAUAUCAUGCCGUUUUUCAAAUCAAAAUUUUGCUGGGAAGCUCACAACAGAUGUGGAAUGGCUGCCCUGAUAGUUUCAACUCCUCAUCAAUCAAAAACUUGAGGCCCUCGAUCACGAAAAAUUAAUCCCACAAAUUACAGAUUAUCAGAAACUACUACUGCAGUAUCUGCGUUAAUCAAUAGGCGGACUUUUAGAGAACAAGACCCACAAGGAAGAAUAAACGAUGCGGGCAAAGAAUCUGGUGUCUGUAAAGAGAUCUUGCUUCCGUCCCUAAACACAGCAUACCCCAUUUCCCCCAAUUCAGACGAAUCAACAGAGAAGUAAUCACCGCAGCGACACUGGUAAAAGAGCUCUAAUACUUUGCCAUCAUCUUCAAUUGUCAUAUCCUCUAAGCUGAGAUCUUCAGCUGUGGCUGUAUCCUGUCUUGAAGCUUGCAGCCCACUAUCAUAAACAGCUCGUGACCUUGGAUCACUGAGGGUUUCCCAAGCCUUCUGUAUUUUCAGGAAUCUAUCUCCUGACUCAGGAUCAGUAUUGGAUGUCUCUGUUGUCUUUUGCAAUUUAUCAGGAUGGGAAUUGAGGAUGGCAGAUCGGUAGCAUCCACGGAUCUCUUCAUAGCUUGCAUCUUCCUUGACAGAGAGAAUGUCAUAGUAAGUUUGCUCAAAGGAGUUCUUAUAAAGAAGCAUGGUUUGAUUCCACUUGCAUCAGACUGCUUUCCCUGCAAAUGCAAUGAAAACUGUCAUAUUAUCUACUUUGUAGUAAAUUCAAUGACCAAACCCACCUUCAGAAUGGUGACAAUGUCUACCCUCUGAUGCAGAAAGAUGUCUGACUAUAGUGUAAUCUUUAGACUGUUACACUUCUAAUUUAACUUUUACCUUCUUUUUGGGAAUACCAAACUUUGGAUCAGGCAGACGCACAUUUAAACUUUACCCGGUUUUAGCCCAGACCAACAUAUAGUUGAUUGGAAAAAGGUUAUUCCAUGCUGAAAUUUCUAAACACUAUGUUAACUAAUCAAACAGUUUUGAACUUUAACUGGAUCAGAUUAUGGUAAAAAUAAAUAAAUAAAAUAAAAAGAAUGAGCAACUAAGAAAUCCAAAAUAGAGGGGCUCUAAAAGUGAUUUAAUGAAGAACUCCUUCAAUCUUUGAUCUGAGAGUUCAUCAUUAUCGAAAGUUCUUCAGUUGUACUCCUUCCAAAUACACCAAAAUAAACAAACCGGAGCCAAGCGCUGAACCUUUCUUUUUUUAUCUAGCCCCUUAAAUUUUCAUUCAAGGAGGAUAUUUCUCACUGAAAUCAAAGACACCCAAAUUGUGCCAAAAACUGCUACCAGAAAAGUUCAUAGCAUUCUUGUCUUAUCACAAUGAAUCAAGAUGUGAUUAGCCAAUUCUUCAUCAUCUUUACAAAAGUUGCAUCUAUUGAUGAUGGGUCAUCUCCCCUUCAUUAACAUAUCUAUAGUUAAGAUCUUCCCCAAACAACUUCCCAUGCAAAAAAUUAAAAAACAAGCUAAGUGGAGCAUGGAAACCCCAAAUCUUUUUGGCUGGAAAUACUAAAUUAUUCUCAGCACUUGAGGAUUUGUAGUACAACUUGACACUAAAGUUUCCCCUCCUAUCAUCUUUCCAAAGUAAAUUGUUCUAUCCUACUCACACUUUCAAUAAGUAAAUAAGUCCCAAAAAUUGGGUCCCCUCCUCUAUCUCUCAAUAUUGGAAGGGUCUAAAUUAAACCUCCCAAUGGCCACCUCCGGCUCCUCCUUCCUCCCAUAAAUCUGCAACCGUAGCACUUUUGGAAGAGUCUAUUCUGAAAAGUGCAGGUGUCCUCCCUCUCAUAAAAUGUUUACAUCAACAAAUGGAAUAUGUGACCCAUACCAAAUAGCUGCUAGUUACCCGAAUAUAUAUAUAUUAUAAGUAAGAGGGUGAAUUAAUAAAUGCUUAAAGCAUACAAAAGUACACGGGUCGUAUACAAAGAGCACCAAACAAAAAGCAAGAAAGAGGGUACACAAAAAACUACUCCCUCCUACAUCCAAGACCCAACCAGUCUAUGAAAUCAACCAAAUGUGUAUAUCCUCCACCUAUAUAUACCCUAAUCCCAUGCAAAGAAAUUGUUAAGGAAAAUAUUUUUUAGCCUUUAAUUUGAUAAUUCCUCACAUUCAAAGAAUCUCCUAUUUUUUUUCCUUCUAGAUUGUCCAAAAAAUACAAGAAGCAGCUUUGCUAGUUACCCGAAUAUUGAACGCAAUCAUCACAUUAGACAAAAUGGCACAAAGAAUAUGAAAUCCAACAGUGAGCCAGUGCCUCAAAGUUUGCUGUGACAACUGGGUAGUCUUGAAUGGUUGAAAAAAUCAGUACUCCCCAUUCAACAACAAUGAUGUUUACAAUGCUUUUAGAAGAAAUGGAUAUUCUUUGGCAAAUAAGAGAGUGAAGUCGUUCCCUUUUGACAUAGUUUGGAAUUCUUGGGUACCAUCAAGAAUUAGCUUUUUUGUUUAGGAAACAACUUAGACAAAG